GGGAAGGCGAAAGUUGUUGCCAGACUUUCUCAGAGGGCCAGACCACUCCAGAUGUAAGAAGAUGAAAUCUGAGGGGUCAUGAGAUGAUUAAUGGGAGAGUUUGGAUCUGUGUGCUCCACGAAGAAGCGGCCUGCUCAAG